AACGAACGCUGGCGGCAGGCUUAACACAUGCAAGUCGAACGCCCCGCAAGGGGAGUGGCAGACGGGUGAGUAACGCGUGGGAACAUACCCUUUCCUGCGGAAUAGCUCUGGGAAACUGGAAUUAAUACCGCAUACGCCCUACGGGGGAAAGAUUUAUCGGGGAAGGAUUGGCCCGCGUUGGAUUAGCUAGUUGGUGGGGUAAAGACCUACCAAGGCGACGAUCCAUAGCUGGUCUGAGAGGAUGAUCAGCCACAUUGGGACUGAGACACGGCCGAAACUGCUACGGGAGGCAGCAGUGGGGAAUAUUGGACAAUGGGCGGAAGCCUGGUCCAGCCAUGAGGCGUGAGUGAUGAAGGCCUUAGGGUUGUAAAGCUCUUACACCGAUGAAGAUAAUGACGGUAGUCGGAGAAGAAGCCCCGGCUAACAUCGUGCCAGCCGCCGCCGUAAUAC
rnacentral:rRNA from 1 species